rnacentral:rRNA from 1 species
AUAUCAAUAAGCGGAGGAAAAGAAACUAACAAGGAUUCCCUUAGUAACUGCGAGUGAAGAGGGAAAAGCUCAAAUUUAAAAUCUGGCAGCAUUUUGUUGUCCGAGUUGUAACCUAGAGAAGUGUAACCUGUGCUGGACCGUGUAUAAGUUUCCUGGAAUGGAGCAUCACAGAGGGUGAGAAUCCCGUCUUUGACAUGGACUACCAGUGCAUUGUGGUUGUGCUCUCAACGAGUCGAGUUGUUUGGGAAUGCAGCUCUAAAUGGGUGGUAAAUUCCAUCUAAAGCUAAAUAUUGGCGAGAGACCGAUAGCGAACAAGUACCGUGAGGGAAAGAUGAAAAGAACUUUGGAAAGAGAGUUAAACAGUAUGUGAAAUUGUUGAAAGGGAAACGUUUGAAGUCAGUCGCGUUAGCUGGGGAUCAGCCUGACAUUGUUGGGUGCACUUCCUGGUUGACGGGCCAACAUCAGUUUUGACUGCCAGAAAAAGGCCAAGGGAAUGUGGCACCUUUGGGUGUGUUAUAGCCUUUGGUCAUAUAUGGUGGUUGGGACUGAGGAAUGCAGUGUGCCGAAAGGCCGGGUUUCGACCACGUUCACACUGAGGAUGUUGGCAUAAUGGCUUUAAGCGACCCGUCUUGAAACACGGACCAAGGAGUCUAACAUGCAUGCGAGUGUUUGGGUGGAAAACCCUUACGCGUAAUGAAAGUGAAAGUUGAGAUCCCUGUCAUGGGGAGCAUCGACGCCCGGACCAGAACUUUUGGGACGGAUCUGCGGUAGAGCACGUAUGUUGGGACCCGAAAGAUGGUGAACUAUGCCUGAAUAGGGUGAAGCCAGAGGAAACUCUGGUGGAGGCUCGUAGCGAUUCUGACGUGCAAAUCGAUCGUCAAAUUUGGGUAUAGGGGCGAAAGACUAAUCGAACCAUCUAGUAGCUGGUUCCUGCC